UGGGAUGACACUGACGCUCAUGCACGAAAGUGUGGGGAGCAAACAGGAUUAGAUACCCUGGUAGUCCACGCCCUAAGCGAUGUCAACUAGCUGUUGGGGCCUUCGGGCCUUGGUAGCGCAGCUAACGCGUGGAGUUGACCGCCUGGGGAGUACGGUCGCAAGAUUAAAACUCAAAGGAAUUGACGGGGACCCGCACAAGCGGUGGAUGAUGUGGAUUAAUUCGAUGCAACGCGAAAAACCUUACCUACCCUUGACAUGUCUGGAAUCCCGAAGAGAUUUGGGAGUGCUCGCAAGAGAACCGGAACACAGGUGCUGCAUGGCUGUCGUCAGCUCGUGUCGUGAGAUGUUGGGUUAAGUCCCGCAACGAGCGCAACCCUUGUCAUUAGUUGCUACGAAAGGGCACUCUAAUGAGACUGCCGGUGACAAACCGGAGGAAGGUGGGGAUGACGUCAAGUCCUCAUGGCCCUUAUGGGUAGGGCUUCACACGUCAUACAAUGGUCGGGACAGAGGGUUGCCAAGCCGCGAGGUGGAGCUAAUCUCACAAACCCGAUCGUAGUCCGGAUUGCAGUCUGCAACUCGACUGCAUGAAGUCGGAAUCGCUAGUAAUCG
rnacentral:rRNA from 1 species